rnacentral:tRNA from 1 species
AGGGACUUAGGUUAGAGCAGUAGACCAAGGGCCUUCAAAGCCCUCUGCGAGGGUGCAACCCCCUCAGACCCUA